UUCAUCCCUCGGUUGUCGUGGAAUCUCGUGGCUCUCUUUGAACUGAAAUCUCCAACGUUAUUACUCUCUCAAACAAAACCCCAGUAAAACAAAACGAAAGAGAGAGCGCUGAAGAGGGAAGUCUCGUUACUCUCGUUUCCUCUCCAGUGUUCCGUACGUGCUUCCCACGAAGAAAAUGAAGAGCAACACCAACACCAAGCUCAUACUAAUUCACAAACAAAACGGCGCCGUCGCCUCCUCCUUCUCAAGCUCCCACCGCCUCUGGCUCCUCUUCGUCACCACGUUCUUCACCUUAGCCUUCACUCUCACCCUCAUCAACUCCACCGUCCAAUAUUCCUCCUCCAAACCCGCAGGCUUAACCUCUGCAUCAUUUACCUCUCCGCUUCCGCCCUCCAUCUCUGACGCCCUCCUCCACUACGCUGCCACCGCCUCCAACUCCUCCUCUCCCCACAUGUCCUCCGCCGAGCUCACCUCUAUAGCCACCGCUCUUAACCUCUGCUCUCCCCACUGCAACUUUUUAGCCUUCGGUCUCACUCACGAAUCUCUCCUCUGGCACGCUCUCAACUUCCACGGCCACACAGUCUACCUGGACGAGAGUGAGUUCUUGGUGUCCAGGUUCGAACAGUCCCACCCGGGAAUCGAAGCCUACGACGUGUCCUUCUCCACGAAGGUCUCCGACAUGCCGGAGCUCAUUAAAGAAACCAAAUCCCAAGUCCGCAACGAGUGCAGACCCGUGCAGAACCUCUUGUUCUCGGAAUGCAAGCUCGGGAUCAACGACCUGCCCAACCACAUUUACGACGUGCCUUGGGAUGUGAUUCUAGUCGACGGGCCACGUGGGUAUUUCCCUAAGGCCCCAGGGAGGAUGUCUGCGAUAUUCACGUCGAGCGUGCUGGCAAGGAGCAAGAGGGACGGUGGAUCUCCGACCCAUGUGUUCGUGCACGACUUUAACAGAGAGGUCGAGAGGAUUUGCAGCGAUGAAUUCUUGUGCGAAGAGAAUUUGGUUGAGACCGUGGAUUUGUUGGGGCAUUUUGUGUUGAAGAGAAUGGAGGUUAGCAGCUUUGAGUUCUGUAAAAAUUCGACCUUUUCUUCAUCAUCAUUGCCAUCAUCGGGUUUAGCUUCUUUAUCAUCAGGGGAUGAUGAAGAUGAUCAUUGAGAUGGGGUUUAUGCUUAAGGAAAAGUAAAGCGACCUGUACGAUGACAUAAGCUGUCGGUGGUGGGGAUUAGGGCUGUUUCAAAUUUGAAGGGGAGCGUGAGAGUGGAAGCUUCUGAGCAUGUCGUCAGAUUGUAGCCGGCCGGUCUCGCCCCGGCGAUGCUGCCUGCAACAGGUUUAUGCUAACCUAAACUGUUUCUGAGUUGUAACUUUUGCUUUCACUACCUGGUCACGUGGAUAAAGCGUACGUCCUCGCGUAAAAAUUUGAGUGAUUAGUCACCGGGUACUGCAGAGUAUAUAUAUACGUGUAUUUUUUUUUUCAAGAGAGACGGUAGAUUGAUUGUCUUUUUAUUUUUA